rnacentral:rRNA from 1 species
GACGAACGCUGGCGGCGUGCCUAAUACAUGCAAGUCGAGCGCAGGAAACUGACGGAACUCUUCGGAGGGAAGGCAGUGGAAUGAGCGGCGGACGGGUGAGUAACACGUAAGGAACCUGCCUCAAGGAUUGGGAUAACUCCGAGAAAUCGGAGCUAAUACCGGAUAGUUCAACGGACCGCAUGGUCCGCUGAUGAAAGGCGCUCCGGCGUCACCUUGAGAUGGCCUUGCGGUGCAUUAGCUAGUUGGUGGGGUAACGGCCCACCAAGGCGACGAUGCAUAGCCGACCUGAGAGUGUGAUCGGCCACACUGGGACUGAGGCACGGCCCAGACUCCUACGGGAGGCAGCAGUAGGGAAUCUUCCACAAUGGACGAAAGUCUGAUGGAGCAACGCCGCGUGAGUGAUGAAGGUUUUCGGAUCGUAAAACUCUGUUGUAAGGGAAGAACACGUACGAGAGGAAAUGCUCGUACCUUGACGGUACCUUACGAGAAAGCCACGGCUAACUACGUGCCAGCAGCCGCCGAACAC